AAUUAAAGAGUGAUUUGUAGGUAUUUAGCUUCAGCUAUUGAGAUCACGAACAGAAGAGCAAGGUAUAAGGCACUAAUCAAAGAAUCAUUUAGUUUGGAAAAGACCUCUAAGAUCACAGAAUCACUAAGCAUCCCAAAGGAGCUGCACUGCUGCUCCUGCUGUGCUGAGUGAUGAUGAGCUGAUCUCGCAGAUGGAGUCACCCAUUUAAAACUCCUGUGGAGAUUUCUGUCUGUAAAAGUCCAGCACAAUGCAGGUGCUUACAAUAAGGUAGUGCUGAUGGGAGCCACUGAUAUGGCUUCUUACUUGAUUACAAACUGGAUGAGCUGUUACUACAAAUACCAGCUUAGGUAGAGCUACAUGUGAAUAAAAAGCUUGGGGGAAGUAAAACUAAGGGAAAAUAAGAGGGUUUAUGUCUAUAGUUCUCAGUAGGGGGGCUCUUUUCUAUGUUAGUCUCUUGCUUUAAAGGUUACAGUUCUUUAAGUCUUGCUAACUUGAGAAAGAACCAGAAGUUUUGGUAAGUGCUUUUGAGGUUUUUCUAUGCUGGCUUUAUGUACUGGUCUUAGCUGCUUCUUUGUCUCUGUUCUGUAUCCUUGUUCCCUGUCUGAGCAUGUAAAGUAAUUGCUGAAGGAAUGAGUUUCCUGUUGCUGCCUUUAGGUAUAAGGGCAAGUUCAGGCAAGUUUUGUGGCCCUGGUUACCACAGGAAAAACUUCCAUAAGGUGUAAUGUGGUAUCUUAAGGCAUCUCUGUACUCUCUGUAUGUCCUUAAGGCACUUCAGUGAAAAAGAGCCUGUAGAAAGUAACCUGCUUUCUUAUGAUCAGGUUGUGCAUUCUACUGUUUCUUGGUUAAGUGAAGGCAUCCUCUUCGUUAUCUUUUCUCUAAAUGAUAUCAGGAGACUCUCCUAAGAGCUCUUCAAGGACAAAGACUUGUAAUCAAGUAGCUGAGAGAGCAGAAUGCUGUGGAAGUACAAAACAAGUUGCUCUGCUAUGCAAACUGUCUGUGCGUAAGAUAAGAAAGUGCUGGUAGGUAACUGGAGCUGGGUGUGGGAAUUAAGGCUGGAUUGAAUGAUUUGUCUUGGUGUGUAUAAAGUAAACAAUCUAUAACCAGGAGGAACCAGAUAAUUAUGGAGUGUCUGAAGCAGCUCUUGCAGAGUAAAACCUUUCAAGGCCACCUGCACCAUAUCAGCAAUACUAUGUAAGGCUGAGAUUGCCAAGGUAACGAUAUCGGACUUGUCAGGCUUAAUAAUAGAUGUAGCAAAACUGAGGAAGAAAUAAUCUGGGUGGAUUGGCUGUUUGGGAGGAGACUGGAGUAAGGGAAGCAUAAAUGUGCCAGAAAAAGUGGAUCCUGAAAUAAGAGAAUAAUACAUAAAAUGAGACAAAAGUGAGAUUAGCUGACUGAAGGACUGCAGGUAUCUGUGGAUGAUAGUGAAGCCUGAGGACCCAAGCCCACAGGAACGCUGAAGUGAUGCUCCUUGAACAACCUGCUGGACUCUACAUCAGGUCUAUGUUGGAAAGAAUUGUUGUGGGAGGGCAGAGCAAAGUGGGAUAGAUGUAUAUCCUGGUGCUAAGUGGUGUGGGAGGAAAGGGUGACUCAACAGCAUCAUGUGUGCUUUUUAAGGCUUGAUUAGUAGCUUCACGGCUGUGUGCAAAGUGAUCUAAAUAGCCAUGAGAUGCUACUGGUGCAUUGAUGAGGUUGCUUAGUUGAUUUAUUGGUGUGCUUGAUACAAAUUAGUGCCCUGAGUCUGUUCUCUCAACACUGUCAUGUGAAGAGGAAUAGCUGGGCAGAAGUCACAGAUGGGGGCUCAACCAGGACCUCCUAAUUUGGAAGCGUGAGCUAACUGAUACUGAGAUCUUUUCUUUGAAGAAGAGCAUGUGUGGAUGGAGAUGAUGGCUAUCAGAUGAACUC
ensembl:lncRNA